UACAGAGGGUGCGAGCGUUAAUCGGAAUUACUGGGCGUAAAGCGCACGUAGGUGGAUUUGAAAGUUGGAUGUGAAAGCCCUGGGCUUAACCUGGGAAUGCCAUUCAAAACUUCAAGUCUAGAGUACAGUAGAGGAAAGUGGAAUUUCCGGUGUAGCGGUGAAAUGCGUAGAUAUCGGAAGGAACACCAGUGGCGAAGGCG
rnacentral:rRNA from 1 species